GACGAACGCUGGCGGCGUGCUUAACACAUGCAAGUCGAACGGAAAGGCCCUGCUUUUGUGGGGUGCUCGAGUGGCGAACGGGUGAGUAACACGUGAGUAACCUGCCCUUGACUUUGGGAUAACUUCAGGAAACUGGGGCUAAUACCGGAUAGGAGCUCCUGCUGCAUGGUGGGGGUUGGAAAGUUUCGGCGGUUGGGGAUGGACUCGCGGCUUAUCAGCUUGUUGGUGGGGUAGUGGCUUACCAAGGCUUUGACGGGUAGCCGGCCUGAGAGGGUGACCGGCGGAAUGGGGACAUAGAUACGGCACGGACGCCGACGGGCGGCAGCAGGGGGGGAGCGGGCAAAAGGGGUUGAGGCCGUACGCCGCAAGGGCGGGGGAGGGAGGAAGGCUGGCGGGGGGGAAACAGGGGGCGCCGGCGAAGAAGGGGGAGGGAAGGGAAGGGGUAAAGAAAAAAGGGACAACCAACGG
rnacentral:rRNA from 1 species